CUUGCUGCUUAAUAAAAAUUUCUGUAAACUGACUUCCCAAAUCCUCACUCUGUCUUGUGGAAUUUUCUUCUCAGUCAGGAUAUGCAG